rnacentral:rRNA from 1 species
CCCUUAGAUGUUCUGGGCUGCACGCGCGCUACACUGAAGCUAUCAACACGUUUUCCCUCCCUGAGAAGGGCGGGUAACCUUUUGAAUCAGCUUCGUGGUAGGGAUCGGGGCUUGCAAUUGUUCCCCGUGAACCAGGAAUUCCUAGUAGACGCGAGUCAUAAGCUCGUAUCGAUUAAGUCCCUGCCCUUUGUACACACCGCCCGUCGCUACUACCGAUUGAACGUUUUAGUGAGGCAUUUGGACCGACGCAUCUCAGUUUAACCGCUGGUUUGUGUUGGAAAGACUUCCAAACUUGAGCGUUUAGAGGAAGUAAAAGUCGUAACA